rnacentral:rRNA from 1 species
ACCGGCGAUACCCGAAUGGGGAAACCCAGUGUGACUCGUCACACUAUCAUUAACUGAAUCCAUAGGUUAAUGAGGCGAACCGGGGGAACUGAAACAUCUAAGUACCCCGAGGAAAAGAAAUCAACCGAGAUUCCCCCAGUAGCGGCGAGCGAACGGGGAGGAGCCCAGAGCCUGAAUCAGCAUGUGUGUUAGUGGAAGCGUCUGGAAAGGCGCGCGAUACAGGGUGACAGCCCCGUACACAAAAGCGCAUGUGCUGUGAGCUCGAUGAGUAGGGCGGGACACGUGGUAUCCUGUCUGAAUAUGGGGGGACCAUCCUCCAAGGCUAAAUACUCCUGACUGACCGAUAGUGAACCAGUACCGUGAGGGAAAGGCGAAAAGAACCCCGGCGAGGGGAGUGAAAAAGAACCUGAAACCGUGUACGUACAAGCAGUGGGAGCCCCACCACCAAAGCAUUUGCUGUACCGCGUUGACGGAGCGAAGCGACGUCAAACCGAUAAAACAGCAGUGUAAAGUGAGCCGCAGGGCGCUUUG